GACGAACGCUGGCGGCGUGCUUAACACAUGCAAGUCGAACGAUGAACUUGGAGCUUGCUCUGGGGGAUUAGUGGCGAACGGGUGAGUAACACGUGAGUAACCUGCCCUGGACUCUGGGAUAACUUCGAGAAAUCGGAGCUAAUACCGGAUAGGACCUUGCACCGCAUGGGGUGGGGUGGAAAGUUUUUCGGUUUGGGAUGGACUCGCGGCCAAUCAGCUUGUUGGUGGGGUAAUGGCUCACCAAGGCGUCGACGGGUAGCCGGCCUGAGAGGGUGACCGGCCACACUGGGACUGAGACACGGCCCAGACUCCUACGGGAGGCAGCAGUGGGGAAUAUUGCACAAUGGGCGCAAGCCUGAUGCAGCAACGCCGCGUGCGGGAUGACGGCCUUCGGGUUGUAAACCGCUUUUAGUAGGGAAGAAGCCUUCGGGUGACGGUACCUGCAGAAAAAGGACCGGCUAACUUCGUGCCAGCAGCCGCGGUAACAC
rnacentral:rRNA from 1 species